rnacentral:rRNA from 1 species
UUGAAAGGGAAACGAUUGAAGUCAGUCAUGCUGGUGGGAAUCAACUUAGGGGAAACUCUGGGUGCACUUCUUCGCUUGGCAGGUCAACGUCGAUUUUGAAUGUCAUAAAAUAAUUGGGGAAGGUAGCUCCUUCGGGAGUGUUAUAGCCCUUGAUAGAUGUGAUGUUUGAGGUCGAGGAUUGCAACGGAUACCCUUUGGGGCUAGCUGCCUGAUCUCUAAUUGGUGUUGGGUUACGGAUAGCAUGCUGACCGUUUUCUAAUUACUGGUUAAAAGGUUAGAGUAUGCAUAAAUUCGUUAAGGAUGUUGACGUA